rnacentral:lncRNA from 1 species
ACAUGGAAUCAGAUCUCCAUUUAAUUUUCCAUGGUGAAAUCCUUCAUAUUGUCACACAAAAUAAGAGGGAAAGAAGGUAUGGGUGGCAAGGUCUUAUAGAUAAGGUCAAACCUUAUCUAAUAUGGUAACUAAUUCAAAUCAUAUUUGAACCUACCAUAAAGACCAGAUUUUAUCUGCUUUUGGAUGUGAGAAAGGGAGGGCAGAGGACUCUUUUGCAUGAAGAAAUCUCAUGCAAGAAACUUUUGUGCGUGAGGCAUUGAGGCAUCUUAAACUUGGUGGCACA